rnacentral:rRNA from 1 species
GUGAAGCCCAGCUUGCUGGGUGGAUCAGUGGCGAACGGGUGAGUAACACGUGAGCAACCUGCCCUCCACUUCGGGAUAAGCCUUGGAAACGGGGUCUAAUACCGGAUAUGAGCUCGCAUCGCAUGGUGUGGGUUGGAAAGUUUUUCGGUGGGGGAUGGGCUCGCGGCCUAUCAGCUUGUUGGUGGGGUGAUGGCCUACCAAGGCGUCGACGGGUAGCCGGCCUGAGAGGGCGACCGGCCACACUGGGACUGAGACACGGCCCAGACUCCUACGGGAGGCAGCAGUGGGGAAUAUUGCACAAUGGGCGCAAGCCUGAUGCAGCGACGCCGCGUGAGGGAUGACGGCCUUCGGGUUGUAAACCUCUUUCAGCAGGGAAGAAGCGCAAGUGACGGUACCUGCAGAAGAAGCGCCGGCUAACUACGUGCCAGCAGCCGCGGUAAUACGUAGGGCGCAAGCGUUGUCCGGAAUUAUUGGGCGUAAAGAGCUCGUAGGCGGUCUGUCGCGUCUGGUGUGAAAUCCCGAGGCUCAACCUCGGGCUUGCAUCGGGUACGGGCAGACUAGAGUGCGGUAGGGGAGACUGGAAUUCCUGGUGUAGCGGUGGAAUGCGCAGAUAUCAGGAGGAACACCGAUGGCGAAGGCAGGUCUCUGGGCCGCAACUGACGCUGAGGAGCGAAAGCAUGGGGAGCGAACAGGAUUAGAUACCCUGGUAGUCCAUGCCGUAAACGUUGGGCACUAGGUGUGGGCUCAUUCCACGAGUUCCGUGCCGCAGCUAACGCAUUAAGUGCCCCGCCUGGGGAGUACGGCCGCAAGGCUAAAACUCAAAGGAAUUGACGGGGGCCCGCACAAGCGGCGGAGCAUGCGGAUUAAUUCGAUGCAACGCGAAGAACCUUACCAAGGCUUGACAUGUACGAGAAAGCCCCCGAGACGGGGUUCUCUUUGGACACUCGUACACAGGUGGUGCAUGGUUGUCGUCAGCUCGUGUCGUGAGAUGUUGGGUUAAGUCCCGCAACGAGCGCAACCCUCGUCCUAUGUUGCCAGCGGGUUAUGCCGGGGACUCAUGGGAGACUGCCGGGGUCAACUCGGAGGAAGGUGGGGAUGACGUCAAAUCAUCAUGCCCCUUAUGUCUUGGGCUUCACGCAUGCUACAAUGGCCGGUACAGAGGGCUGCGAUACCGUAAGGUGGAGCGAAUCCCAAAAAGCCGGUCUCAGUUCGGAUUGGGGUCUGCAACUCGACCCCAUGAAGUCGGAG